rnacentral:rRNA from 1 species
UAGUCCACGCCGUAAACGAUGGAUACUAGCUGUCCGGGGCUUUAAGUUCUGGGCGGCCAAGCGAAAGUGAUAAGUAUCCCACCUGGGGAGUACGUUCGCAAGAAUGAAACUCAAAGGAAUUGACGGGGCCCGCACAAGCGGUGGAGCAUGUGGUUUAAUUCGAUGAUACGCGAGGAACCUUACCAGGGCUUAAAUGUAAGUUGCAUUAGCUAGAGAUAGCUAUUUCUUCGGACUACUUACAAGGUGCUGCAUGGUUGUCGUCAGCUCGUGCCGUGAGGUGUCAGGUUAAGUCCUAUAACGAGCGCAACCCCUGUUGUUAGUUGCCAGCAUGUAAAGAUGGGAACUCUAACAAGACUGCCGGUGCAAACCGUGAGGAAGGUGGGGAUGACGUCAAAUCAUCACGGGCCCCUACGUCCUGGGGCUACACACGUGCUACAAUGGUAGGGGACAGAGAGCAGCCACUUCGCGAGAAGGAGCGAAUCUAUAAACCCUAUCACAGUUC